rnacentral:rRNA from 1 species
UUCCUCGGGGCGCAGCAGUAGGGAAUAUUACUCAAUGGGGGGAACCCUGAAGCAGCAACGCCGCGUGGAGGAUGAAGGUUUUCGGAUUGUAAACUCCUUUUGUUAGAGAAGAUAAUGACGGUAUCUAACGAAUAAGCACCGGCUAACUCCGUGCCAGCAGCCGCGGUAAUACGGAGGGUGCAAGCGUUACUCGGAAUCACUGGGCGUAAAGAGCGCGUAGGCGGGAUGGCAAGUCAGAUGGGAAAUCCUAUGGCUUAACCAUAGAACUGCAUUUGAAACUGUUAUUCUAGAGUAUGGGA